rnacentral:rRNA from 1 species
UGGGGAAUUUUGGACAAUGGGCGCAAGCCUGAUCCAGCCAUGCCGCGUGCGGGAAGAAGGCCUUCGGGUUGUAAACCGCUUUUGUCAGGGAAGAAAUCUUCUGAGUUAAUACCUCGGGAGGGAUGACGGUACCUGAAGAAUAAGCACCGGCUAACUACGUGCCAGCAGCCGCGGUAAUACGUAGGGUGCAAGCGUUAAUCGGAAUUACUGGGCGUAAAGCGUGCGCAAGGCGGUUUUGUAAGACAGAGGUGAAAUCCCCGGGCUCAACCUGGGAACUGCCUUUGUGACUGCAAGGCUUGAGUGCGGCAGAGGGGGGAUGGAAUUCCAGCGUGUAGGCAGUGAAAUGCGUAGAUAUGCGGAGGAACAUCGAUGGCGAAGGCAAUCCCCUGGGCCUGCACUGACGCUCAUGCACG